rnacentral:rRNA from 1 species
AUGCAUAGUAUAAGCAGUUUCUUGCAAUUUUAUCAUAUUGGAAACAUAGAGAGGUGGAGAUAUAGUUACCCUCUCAUAAUAAUUGCAAGUAGGAGCAGAAAGCACAUGCAUAUCACAUUCAUCAAAAUUAUCAUGUGCAAUGGUAAAAGGCAACCCAUCAAUAUAAUCCUUAAUAAGCACAAACUUCUCCGAUAUAAUGUAGUCCAAAGAAUUCAAAAAGAUAAUAGGACUAUCAUGCCUGGGUGCGAUAGCAACAAUUUCAUGUUUAACAUAAGGAACUAUAGCAAGUUCAUCUCCAUAAGCAUAAUUCAUAUUGGCAUCUUGGCCACAAGCAUAGCAAGCAUCAUCAAGAAGGCAUAUUUCAAGAGAAUCAACGGGAUCAUAGCAAUCAUCAUAGCAAUCGUCCUUCGGUAA